GAUGAACGCUGGCGGCGUGCCUAAUACAUGCAAGUCGAGCGAACGGACGAGAAGCUUGCUUCUCUGAUGUUAGCGGCGGACGGGUGAGUAACACGUGGAUAACCUACCUAUAAGACUGGGAUAACUUCGGGAAACCGGAGCUAAUACCGGAUAAUAUUUUGAACCGCAUGGUUCAAAAGUGAAAGACGGUCUUGCUGUCACUUAUAGAUGGAUCCGCGCUGCAUUAGCUAGUUGGUAAGGUAACGGCUUACCAAGGCAACGAUGCAUAGCCGACCUGAGAGGGUGAUCGGCCACACUGGAACUGAGACACGGUCCAGACUCCUACGGGAGGCAGCAGUAGGGAAUCUUCCACAAUGGGCGAAAGCCUGACGGAGCAACGCCGCGUGAGUGAUGAAGGUCUUCGGAUCGUAAAACUCUGUUAGUAGGGAAGAACAUAUGUGUAAGUAACUGUGCACAUCUUGACGGUACCUAAUCAGAAAGCCAUGGCUAACUACGUG
rnacentral:rRNA from 1 species